UACGUAGGGGGCGAGCGUUGUCCGGAUUUAUUGGGCGUAGAGAGCUCGUAGGCGGCUUGGCAAGUCGGGUGUGAAACCUCCAGGCUCAACCUGGAGACGCCACUCGAUACUGCUAUGGCUAGAGUCCGGUAGGGGACCACGGAAUUCCUGGUGUAGCGGUGAAAUGCGCAGAUAUCAGGAGGAACACCGGUGGCGAAGGCGGUGGUCUGGGCCGGCACUGACGCUGAGGAGCGAAAGCGUGGGUAGCAAACAGG
rnacentral:rRNA from 1 species